AUUGAACGCUGGCGGCAGGCCUAACACAUGCAAGUCGAGCGGAUGAAGGGAGCUUGCUCCUGGAUUCAGCGGCGGACGGGUGAGUAAUGCCUAGGAAUCUGCCUGGUAGUGGGGGAUAACGUCCGGGAACGGGCGCUAAUACCGCAUACGUCCUGAGGGAGAAAGUGGGGGAUCUUCGGACCUCACGCUAUCAGAUGAGCCUAGGUCGGAUUAGCUAGUUGGUGGGGUAAAGGCCUACCAAGGCGACGAUCCGUAACUGGUCUGAGAGGAUGAUCAGUCACACUGGAACUGAGACACGGUCCAGACUCCUACGGGAGGCAGCAGUGGGGAAUAUUGGACAAUGGGCGAAAGCCUGAUCCAGCCAUGCCGCGUGUGUGAAGAAGGUCUUCGGAUGGUAAAGCACUUUAAGUUGGGAGGAAGGGCAGUAAGUUAAUACCUUGCUGUUUUGACGUUACCAACAGAAUAAGCACCGGCUAACUUCGUG
rnacentral:rRNA from 1 species